GAUGAGCCCAGCUUGCUGGGUGGAUUAGUGGCGAACGGGUGAGUAACACGUGAGUAACCUGCCCUUAACUCUGGGAUAAGCCUGGGAAACUGGGUCUAAUACCGGAUAGGAGCGCCCACCGCAUGGUGGGUGUUGGAAAGAUUUAUCGGUUUUGGAUGGACUCGCGGCCUAUCAGCUUGUUGGUGAGGUAAUGGCUCACCAAGGCGACGACGGGUAGCCGGCCUGAGAGGGUGACCGGCCACACUGGGACUGAGACACGGCCCAGACUCCUACGGGAGGCAGCAGUGGGGAAUAUUGCACAAUGGGCGCAAGCCUGAUGCAGCGACGCCGCGUGAGGGAUGACGGCCUUCGGGUUGUAAACCUCUUUCAGUAGGGAAGAAGCGAAAGUGACGGUACCUGCAGAAGAAGCACCGGCUAACUACGUGCCAGCAGCCGCGGUAAUACGUAGGGUGCGAGCGUUAUCCGGAAUUAUUGGGCGUAAAGAGCUCGUAGGCGGUUUGUCGCGUCUGUCGUGAAAGUCCGGGGCUUAACCCCGGAUCUGCGGUGGGUACGGGCAGACUAGAGUGCAGUAGGGGAGACUGGAAUUCCUGGUGUAGCGGUGGAAUGCGCAGAUAUCAGGAGGAACACCGAUGGCGAAAGGCAGGUCUCUGGGCUGUAACUGACGCUGAGGAGCGAAAGCAUGGGGAGCGAACAGGAUUAGAUACCCUGGUAGUCCAUGCCGUAAACGUUGGGCACUAGGUGUGGGGACA
rnacentral:rRNA from 1 species